GCUUAAUGUAAGUGGUUUUCAUCGUGUGGGAAUAAAACUUAGUGGUAUAGUGAGCUGUAUGGUGUUCUGAUCUUAUUUCCACAGAAUCAACACAUUUCCAUUACAAUUGCCUAUGGACAUUCAAAAUGAAUGUGUUCAUUGAAUAUAUAAUUUUACAUUAUAUGAAUUUUUAACAGAUGGCAUUUUCUGGCUUUUGGGUGCUUUGGUAGACCAGUCUGUA